AUGGCCAGAACAUGCGGCUGCUACAAUAAGUGCGCUGCGUGGACUGGAGAGGAUCUGCUCACAAAGCAGAGAAGUGUUAAAAUUGCUACUUCCUGGGUUUUCCAGGAAUUAGAAGAUGCAGGCACACCUGAUGAAAAAGUAAACAGCACUAGAGAAGACAAUUUGAACCUCAGAAUAAAAGAGCUGGAAAAGUCAGAGCAAAAACUGAAAGGUGUUCUAGAGGACUACGUGGAGUCAGAUUCCAUCCUAAGAAAUAGGAUGAAAGAGCUGGAGCUGUCACACAAAACACUUCUUGUGAUGGUUGAUCAGCUUUAUGUGAAGCUGGACCAGGUUGAAAAUGCCAAUGUGCGCAUUAAAGGGAAGCUGCGAGACAUUCAGGAGGACCUGAUCAGCUUGGUUGAAAACCAAAAGAAGUCAGAGAAGAAGCACAAGGAAAAAUUGCGUUGGCUUCAGGAGCAGCUGAAGACAAAAGAGGAUGAAAUAAAAAGCCAGUCAGAAUAUUUUGAGCACUACAAACAAAGGCAGAGACAACAGACAGCAGUACUGAGGAAAAGGGACUGUUACCUUCAGGGUGAAGUAUCUAGGCUGGAAAAGCAAGUCCUAGAUCUUAAUGCCCAUAUUGCUCUUUUGACAUCCAAGUUAGAAGAGGGACUGGUGCAGCACCUCCAGCAGAACCUGCAGUCAGUGUGCAGUGGGACUCAGGGCUGUAAACACCCUCGCAUGGAAGAAAUGGAAUGGAAGACUUGUAUUGAAAAUGUGGAACAUGAUGUGAAAAGCCACCUCAAGGCAUUUCAGCAAAACCUGAAGCUCUUGAGGGAAAAAGAAGAGGACACUAGAAGAGAACAGGCAGACCUGCUGACUGAACUGCAGUGCUUUCAGAACACUGAAGAUUUUCUCAGAACAAAAUUGGAAGAAUCUCACCAUCAUGUCUAUAGUUUAAAAUUAUCUGAAAUCAAACUACAGGAAAAAGUGGAAGAGCUUUUAGAUGAAAACAGAACUUUAAAAGAACAAGGUACUGUGAAGUUGAAAAAGAAGAAAGAAAAAGACUCAGAACUUACAAGAUUGGUGGAUGGGGACAACAGUGUUAACCUGAACGGAGAUCUAAUUCAGGAUGAAGUUCAUAAUCUGAAACGGAGAGCAGUCUUGGAUUCACUCAGAAGCAGGGCUACUCAAACUCCAGUUGUGCUGCUACAUGACAAAGAGUCUGAAACACCAGCCUGUAGUUGUGAUGGACUAAAGCCGAUGGAGGAGCUACCAGAAGAAAUUGUGCCAGUUUUGGAAUACAGUUCUAGUGCUAUUGCAAAAGCUGCUGGUCUAGCUGAGACUGAGCAGGUCACCCUUGGACCACAGAGGGCAAAUAAUCUAGAGGAUAGUUUCACUUUGCCCAGGUGUACCCCAAGUCAUCGUGCAGCAGGACUGCUUCCCCCUUGUCCUGAGAAGUUACCCAGUGAUGAGACAAGUAAGGAAGCCAAAGAUGAAGAAACAUUUUUUCUCUUGAAGGAGCACGCUAUAACUCUACCAGUGAAGACAUUCCCUGCUUCUGUGGUUGAAAUCUUAAUGAGAAAGAAGCUCCAACUGAUCUUGUUUGAACCUGGAAUAUGCCAUGUAACAGCUUUCACCACUGAGAAUAAAGUGAGGAGUUUGAGUUUCUGUGUAACAAAUACUGAUCUUUGGUCUGAUGGCCUUUGCAUUAUUGCAAAAGAAGGAUUUUAUGACAGAGCUACUGAACUUCUUCAUGGAAAGUUGUUUUCUACUGAGGCUGAAAUUUUCACAACAUCUCUAGAAGAAUGCAACAUGGAAAAACAGUGGGGAAACAUGCAAAUUCUGCCAAAAAGUGAGGAAAAAUGUGUGCUGAAAAGAGAGAUAGACAGAAUCAAUCAAGAAACUUCUGAACAGUUUGAUGAAUUUCAGAAAACAAAUACAAACAUUAUUUUAGAAAAAAAUCUAAAAGUAUUAAUGUCUUCUUUGGGUUUCACCUAUGAGGAGCUGAGAAAAGAGAAAAGUAUAGGACCAAAGAAAAAUACAGUAAAAUUAAAAGAAGAACGUCAACAACCUGAUCUUAAACGAAAGAAAGUUCAAACAGAAUAUAGUGUAAUACAAACUGAAGAACACAGAGUUCCGACAAUAGAUCCUUCAGAUUAUUCCCCUGGGGAAAAGGACAGCAUGUUUGAAAGCUACAGUAUGAUGAAAGAGCAAGUCAGAAAGGCGGAAGAAGAGCUAAAAAUACAGCAAAAGGAAUUAGAAAAAUCAAAAAAAGAGGCUCAGAAGUGGUACAGAGAACUUGGUUUUGCUGAAACAAGGUAUGAAGAAACCAAAACUCAUUUGAUGCAGGCUCUCUCAGAAUUAGACCGCCUUAAGCAAGAAGUUGGGGACAAAAUGCAGGGAAAGCAGCACUGCAAAUUAAUGCCUGUGUACACAUUGAAGGAUGCCCAGGAAAAAGAGGUGAAUAAAAUAUGCAGUAAGAGAUUAGAGCAGCAAGUACUGACCUUGAAAGCCCAGCUCAGGGACCAGGCUGCAUUACAAAAUCAAUUUCAUGACUUGCAGAAGGAAGUGGAACUCCUUCAGGCUCAGCUAUGUGAAAAGGAGAAAGAACUGCAGAAGAGCAAAUCUGAAGUGAAGUUGACAUUAGCUCCUCUGAAGGCUAAGCUGGCUUGCCUCACCCAAAAGUGCCAGGAAAGGAACAGCUUCAUUAGGAGAAUGCAUGAUGAAUUCCAAAAGCAAGGAUUUAUUAACUCUGUAUUUGAUGAAGAAAUGAAGAGCUUGGUGAAUGAUAUGACCCUGGCAGAGUACACGGUUGCUUUUACACCAAUGUGUGAUCAAGAGAUGCUGCCUUCCUCCACAGAGGAUCAUGUGGGAUGUGCCACAGGGAUGGCUGGAUCAGUAUCUGUAAACUUUCAGUCAGGGGUGGAUGGCCCCCACAGUUCUCCCAUCACCCCAAAUGUGUGUGCUGGUUCUUCCAUCACAGUAACAAGCCCAGAGAGGAUUUUAGCCUUGCAACAAGAACUAGGAGAAAACCACUGCAAAAAUUGCCAGAUACCUUCAGUUGUCCCCUCCAGCUCAAACCCUUGGGCUGGUCCCCACCUGCCCAUGACCCAGGAGGAAGCCCCUUGGCCUCUGCUGUCAGGGAUGAAGGAUGCUGCAGUGCCCCCAGUUGUGUCCUGGGCCACGAAGGGGAGGGAUCGGUUGUCGAAACAUGAUGAUGUAUUUUGGGGUCAAAUAGGAAAUCAGCAUGCAGGUGCUAUUCCCCAGGGAAUGAAACACAAAAAUGCCAUUAUGAAUAAGGCAUGGCUCUCUAGAGAAAAAACAGAUGGCUCAACCUCAGCUACCACAGCAGAAAGCUAUUUGCCAGACAUGUUGUCAGCAAGUAAUAAAGGUCGAUAUCCUGUGGGGAGAAAUCAGCUGCAUGGGAAAGAAUAAAACCUGCAGAAAUAAAACAAGGGAUGAGUUUACCAGUUGGUUCAGUCUGUAUUAUUUAACAGUGGAGAGAGGCAUCCUGAUGUUCAAUUCAGAGAUGAGGAUGCUGCAAUAACUUACAAAGCAGAAUGCAAGGGAAGAAUGUAUCAGUCACACAGAAGAAGCAGUAGAGCUCUGAAGGACAGAUGAAAUGAAAUGAAAUGAAAUGUGGUUUGGCCUGAAGGUGACUGCAGCUGCUCCAUUAUGGGAAAACGUGAGAAGUUGCCCUCAGUUACAAUCUGCACCAUUUUAGCCACCUGCUGUAGUGGAAGCUGGCCAUGCACAGUAACCCAGUGUGUGGUUUGAGUCUGAGUUUUGUUUUGUUUUGUUUUCUUGGCAUCUCAGCAUUUGCAUUUUAAAGCAAUUACCAAGUUAAGCACAAUCUCCAUCUUCAUGGGUCUGCUUAUGUGGGUAUGUAAUAUCUUCAGCCUUGUGUGGCUUUGAACAUUCCUGAAAGAGCCUUUGAUCUGAGUUGGGAUGUUUAGUAUAUCUGAGGAUGUGAUACUUGAGGGUACAAACUGUUUAGCAAAUGAGACAGAAUGGCAUUUUUACAAGGGUAAGUUGGAAUUGGAAAUGAUCUUCAUGUGUGCUGAGAGGCACUUGGAACAUCAAAGUGCUCUGUCCUAAUACUCUGAGUAUUUCAACCACAUGAAUAGGCCACUCUUUAUUAACUAAAUUAACUGAAUUUAACUUUCAGAUAAAACACUUGCAGACACACUUGCUUCUCCUGAAAUGGGCACGUUUGUUCACUCUGGUUGGUAGCAGCACAUAUGAUGCAAACACAUUUUGCAACCAUGCUGCACAAUGCAGAUUACACACCACAACCCCUGCUAUUCACCUCUGAGUACCUUUUGGGAAGGCAGGGAGAUGUGAAUGUAGGCACAGACCUGUACAUAAGGAGUCCUGUGGGUGCCUCCAUCCAUUCUGUAACUAAAGGCACAGAGCACUGUUGAGUCUGUGGAAUACUCAUGCUGACCUGAAUGGCAGCAGCUGCUCUCAAGCUCUUACAUCGUGAUGCACUUUCAGUUUUGGUAGCUGUUUUAUGACUUGUAUUUCCCUCUUUUCUUUUUUAACGUUGAGCUAACUGCUAGGAUGUUCUGUCUUUACAAUGUGCAGUUGCUCAGUAAUUACAGAUAUCCUUUGAAAGGAAGCAGAAGAAGAAUAAGCCAUGGAAUUCCAAAUCAGAUUAAUGUAAUGUGCAUUUCUAGAUUACAAUUAGUAACAGGAUGACACGUUGCCAUGGUAACAUGUGAAGCUUAACUACAAGUUCCUAAAAUAAAGCAAUGACAUAUGUGUAGGUUUCUAUCAAUUUGCAUACUAUCCACAUGAAAACAUAUAUAAUUUCUACAACACUAAGGCAAUUAAACCCUUCUGAAUUAAGUGUUGAACUAAAAUAUCAGACCUCUUUCCUAGUAUUUAUGCAAAAUCUCCCACCAUAAAUUAUAAAUGUUGAAGCUGUCCAUUUUGUAACAUCUUAAGCUUUCUGCCUUUUGGUUUCAUUUUAGUACAAUUAGUGUAAGGAAUGUAGAGCACUCUUCAUUCUUUGUGGUUUGUACCACAUCGAUCUCCUUGAAAUUCUACCACCUCCUCAUACAAAAAUUGUUCUACCAAGAUUGGAAAAGUCUGCCUGUAAAUUACAUUGACAGACCAGUGGAUGUGGUUCAUGUGGCUAAGAAUUGGGAAGUAAAACCCCAACUUUUCCUCAAAUCCCUGGAAGAAAGCAGUAAACUUUUAAUGUGAGAUUGCUAGGUAAGAUGGAAAACCUAGCUAUUAUUUUCUAGAUGCCUUAUGGUGAAAAGUCUUGUCUGCUUUUCUACUUGUCAGAGAGUCUGAGUUUGUUUCACUAAGCAGAAGUUAACUUGUUUAAUGUGCUACCUAUGGUAGAGCUACCAGGACAUGCUUUACAUGUAUUGUCAUUUCAUGGUAAACCUUCGGUGAAUGAAAAAUUGGGUGCUUUAUUCUGAUUGCUUUCUACACGUUACAUUGUUUUGGUCAAAUUUUUUAGUCAAAAUUAAGAUGCUGCUAAGUUCUGUAAGCAAAUGAAUCUCCUUCUGUCACCCUAAAUAGACAAGAUGGGCAGUGUUACAUGUGAAGUAUGGUUUCUUUGGCAGUUCACUUAUUUAUGUGUACUUUACUGUAUAGAGCAGUGGAGAAUAUUGAAAAUGCAGCUUACAGGUUGCUCCUUUAGCGACCUUUAAAUCCCAAAUUCUGUUCUUCACACCACUAUGGUUGGCAAAUGCUGCAAGUACAAUGAUUGACUGUGGUGUGACAAUCAUGUUAUAUUCAGGAUAAUGCAGUUGCUGGGAAAUGUGUCAAAUGCACAGCAGAGUUCCCAGGAUAAACCUCCUGCUGAAGCAUGGUUGAUGUUUGUCCUCGUGACCUUUUGGAAAUUGGAAACUCUGAUUUUUGUGUUUCAUAAAUUUACCUGUAUUUCUCACUUGCAGAUGAAAGUUUUUAAUAUUUGAAUUUACUAUGGUUAUGUGGUGGAAAGAGGGACAUGUGCAUGCUGGGUUUUGCCACUAAUCCCUUGGAAAUCCUUUAGUGCCUUAAGGAGGCAGAGGGGUAACAGGCCCUAGGAUUACAGAAACUUGUUCAAACCUCUUUCCUGCUUUAGAAGAAUUCCUUUAAAUAUAUUGUGCCUUUGGCUCUAAAUAUAUUUGCAUUAGAAAUCAGUAGCCAUGGGAUUAUGGGCAGGAAUUGUUGCCCCUGUAGAAAUGUUAGGAAGGAGAGUAUACUAUUUCCUGUUUCUUGUAUAGGAUAUCAUAUAAAAAUAUAGCUAACUUAAAUUCUACCAUUGAUAUCCAUGCAUACUAGGAAAUUUGCAAAUUGCAGUUAAAGGCGGGGAAAAAAAGAAAAAAAAAAAAAGAGAAAGUUCAAAUAUUCUGGAUUAAAAGCUGGUAUCAUAAAGUGACUGGCAAAUUUCCACAGGCUUUCUUGGGAGCAAGAUUUCAUGCUUGCUUCUAUUUGGCUUAAGAAAUUCUCACAUGUGGUAGAUAUGUGGGCAUCAUGUUCUGUUUAAUGUUGUAGGAGAGGAAAAGAGAGAUUAGUAGUUUUAGAGACCUGCUUGAUUUGGAGUUGCUGGGAUCUGUGGUAUAAAUCUCUGCUCACUAUUGUUUCUUUGUGUAACAUAGACUUUUGCUUUGGGAAUAUGAAUAUGCAAAUGUAAAUUCCAAUGUGAGAGGUUACUGUGCAAUGUGCACUAAACGAUGCCAAACUACAUUUCUCUACUCUCUGAACUGUGUUCUUUUUCAAAAAGAGGAAAAAUGUAACUAACAGAUGAAAAACAGUGCCAAAAAAGCCUGCAUGAGGCAAUUCAUGUAUCACCCACUGAUGGUCCUAAGCAGCUCUUAGGAAAAGCUGAAUAAGCUUUUAACUCAUGAGUGAAUUUUAUCUUCUAGGAAUUAAGAACAAUUUGUUGGUACAGAGCUAAAUUAAAAAAAAAAAAAAAAAGAAGGCCUGAAAAUCAAACUGGUGGUGGUCUUCUGUUUUGCUACCUGUGAUGACAAGCAAGUUUUAAAGAAUUUGUAAAUAGUUGAAAGAAAAUCAUUACGUGGCUUGCAGUAUGUAAGACAAGACCCAGCAUGGAACAGAUUUUAUAGCUUAUUUAUAAAUUAUGCUUCUGCCUUUUGUUUGAAACUUGGAAAAGGAAACCAUGUAAAUUAAAUAAGGAGUGAAGACUUACUGCACACAUUUGUUGACUGAAACAAAAAUAUUUCCCCACCUCCUGAGGUAUUUAUGAGUAAUCUGGGAUGAAUAAUGUACAGAGAUCUUGCCUUUUGAGCUCUAGUGCUGUACAACUCUUUAACACUUUUGCACAGCCAACAGAGGAGUGGUAACCAGAAGUCACGAAGAGCAGUUGUUAGGGCCACAAAUUUGGAUCCAUUUGAAGAGGUACCAAAGAAUGCACAAAAUGCUGGGAUUUAUGGUGUGAUACUUAUUAAUCAGGUGUAGCAGUUAGACUGGGGAAGGAGGGAUGUUUGUAAAUAAAUGCAAGAAGUUUAAACUCUGACCCAUGACCACCCUGCCACUGGUGUCACAUUGGUUUCAGCUAUGUGAGAAGCUUCAAUGUAUAAAAGAGGCCACUCGUAUUUUAACUGUUUCAUUAAAACAGUCUGGAUAACUCUUCAGCAAAGAUUUCCACUCUAAGACAUUUGCCAUUGAUAUCAACUGUACAUAUGUAUUAAUAUUCAGUGUAACUAGGAGGAUACAGAAUUGUAAUGAAGUCACAAAGUCUACUUGAUGAUCACAGAUUUGUAACUCUCACAAAUUAUGUAAGAUAUGUUGACAUUUUAUCUUGUUAACAAGAUGUAUUUUUCUAUGUUAGCUAAAUGUAUAAUUUGUAUAAUUUUGUAUAUUAAAUGUAUGCAUAUUUUAAAUUAAAAA